rnacentral:lncRNA from 1 species
GGUUUAUUCACGUUUUCUACUUAUUUCAGGAAUCACCUUUGGUUGCUGAAGCAUCCAAAGUGGAAGAACUCUCAGAGGAAACGGAAGUUAAAUCACCAUCUUCUUCUGUGGCUAAACCUAUAACAGUAAGAGGGCAGGAGGAAAAUUCCUGACUAUGACCUGGAUUUCUCCUACUCUCUUAGCCUCUGGAGUAGGGAUAACUCAAUUCAACUUUUCUGCUCUGACUUGUAUUUUGAAGGCCAAGGAAACAAGGCCCAUGCACGCAUGUGCGCGCGCACCUCCCCACCCCCCACACACACUCAGGUUCAUUGUUUUCCCAAUUCCCCAGCAGUUCACAUAUUUCUGUAGACCAAGUCCUUUCCAGUAUCCCCACAAUCUUUUUUCAGAGGCUAUCUUACCAUGAUCUCACCAAGCCCAUGGCAGGAUAGCCCUUCACAAGUUUCUUCCUAAGGAUUCCUCAACCUGCAGAGCUAAAGACUUCUGUCCGAUCUGGGAAUCUACUGCCUUUCUCAGCCAUUUGGACAGGAUUGUCUGUCUAAAGCUUCAAAAAAAGAAAAAAAAUGUAUUUCUCGUUGAUGUAUACAGAAAGGACAUCUUGUGAUCAGAGAGCCACAGUACUUUGGAACUUGAGUGUUCUUUUUUUUUCCCAUAUAUUUACUAUUUGCUUUUGACAUUUCCUUGUGCCAAAGAAAGCCUUUUCCACUUUUAAUCACCAUGAUAAUUUGGUUUCCUUUCCCAUCUCUGUCCACUGGUGUAUGCUACACUUAGGCUAAAAAACAUAUUGCACACCCUUGACUACACUGUAAUACUGCACUCAGUACGGACGUGAAGCUCAGCAGGGACAUUAAAAGUAUCAUAUGCUGGGAUGGUCCUUUCCUUUUUUCUGGUGUUCAGCAUCUUUUAUAAGGCAGAAUUAAGAAAACAGAAACAUAAAUCAUGAAAUUUGAAUCUCUUGUAAUAAAGAAGGCAAGACUGCCUUUGGUCUCAAAAGGUGGAAAAAGUAUUUUUUACAUUCCUAACCUGCUACCAAUGUCUUUUAUGAAGCAAUUUUCAAUGUGAAAUGAGACAGGGAAAUAGAACCAUGAGCUUCCUUGUUUGUGUUUUCUGAGCCCCUGGUGUUAGAUUGGGUUUUUCUGAAUAGUUUUAUAGCCAAUUUAGCAGUUUCUCAUCUAGGGAGCAAGUUUUUGUUUUGUUUUGUUUUAUGGUUAAUAAAUCC